GUAUGUGAGCAUGCAUAUUCUUUAUCUCAAAAUAUGGACCCUAAGAGUGAAGGCCGAGGUGUGUUACAAUUCAAGACUGGUUUGAUGUCUGUCAUCAAGUGGAGCGUUUGGCUAGGUCAGCUCGAGCGUGGCGUUGGUAUUGGCGCUCUUUUUCCUCUUUUCAGACCUUAACUUCUCGAUCCUCACUUCUUUCUACACAUCCCAAGGCCAGAGAACCAAUUUCUUCUUCCUUAAUUUUCCAGACAUUUUCAAUAGGAAGAAAAACCUAUUCCAAAUUUGGAGUUUUGGCCACCCUUUCUUGCUCCAAUAACUCAAAAGGAAAAGAUAAAUAUAUAAUUCUUUGUCUUUAUUGUUUAACUUGCUUGGAUGACAUCAUCUAUGACUUAUAAGCUUUGCUAACUUUGUGGUGAUUGAUUAUUCUCUUUCUUAUUAUUCUUUUAUAUGUUGGGAUGGGAAGGAUCUUUGUCAAGCUGAUUCGAAAUCUUUAUCCAUGCAAUGGUCCUUGCUUUUGCCAACCAGUGAUGCACUACAAGCAAUGAUGCAUGAUGCAACUUUAAUGACAUGCUUGCUGUUUGAUCCGCGUUUGAAGGAGUUGGAGGGACAUGGAACUCAAGUUUUGGAUNUUGAGUUGUGCAUAUGACAGGAAAGUGGUUGAGAAAACAGUCGUGGCAGUUAGGAUAGGAGAAAACGUUGGGAAGCUGAAGAAUGAAGGGCUACCUUCAGAAUUUUGGUCUUGGAGGAAAUAUGGACAAAAAUAAACCAAAGGGUCUCCAUAUCCAAGAUUUUUGGAGUUUUCAAGAUUGUCGUAAUUCCACUGUCGGGUCAACUUUCAAAUGAGCAUGCUUUUGCUCCUUUUUAUCAUCUUCACGUAUGAUCUGGUCCCUGUUCGCUCAUACGCACACUAUAGUAAUCACAUCUGCAUUCUGUACUUUGCUGCCUCCAAACGGUUGAACGCACGAUACUAAUAUUUUAUAGUUAAAGAAAAGCGUGCAGAACUUGAAAAAUUAAAAUCUACUUUUGUCAGGAGAGCAUCUGAAUUCUUGAGAAAUUAUUUUGCUAGCUUGGUGGACUUCAUGAUAAGUGAUAAAAGCUACUUUUCCCAGCGAGGACAGUUAAAGAGGCCUGAUCAUGCUGACCUGCGGUACAAGUGCAGGACAUAUGCACGUCUUCUGCAACAUUUGAAGAGUCUUGACAAGAAUUGCUUGCGUCCGCUGAGAAAAGCUUAUUGCAAUUCUCUAAACUUGCUUCUUCGUAGGGAGUAUAAAGGACGAGUGUGAGCGUGAACCUGUAAUACAAACAGCAGCCUUAGCACCUCUUGUGGACGUUGUGAAAUUGCAAGGAGGUUUGAAUUAAUGACAAAUAUCAAGCAUGUGCAGCCAAGAAAAAGGGAGUUUCUUUUAUAUCAAAGGCUUCUAAUAUGCUUAAAUUGUGUUGUAUGGCCUGCAAUUGAUAGAAUUAUAAUUGUUUAAUCUGCUGAACUAGUGGAAUUGUUUGUGCAGUAUCAGUUGAGACGUUAUUUGAGAGCAAUAAGGAUCAAUUAUGUGCAUUAAGUUUACAAGACCGAGAAAGGGAAGUUCUAAUUGCUUUAUCUUUUUGUGCAAACUGGUUUGGUUAAGGGUGUAAGUGACAACAACCUUGUUCAUUUGUGUUGCAGGAUUGGAACAUCAAGCUUUAUGAUGAGAUCGAGCCAGUUGAAGGCCACAUUUUGAUCUAGUGAAGCAUUGCAGCAGUGGACUGUACCAAGAAAGUAGCGUAGCUUUUGUUUUUAAUUUUCCUUGUAUUUGGGCUUGUGUCAGCCCACUGUUACUCUUAGUUUUAGCUUUGGUUUGUAAAAGGCCUUUUAUAAAGUCCAAGUGCUUUGGAGGAGUUCUUAGUGCUUUUCCCAACUCUUGGCAACUUUGGUUACUCUUUUUAAAUUUGACAUAGCUAGACAGUUGAGUGUGUCUUGUUAGCCAAAAUUACAAGCCUAACUGCAGGAGUAGAAUUUUA